GGCGGGGCUCUCCGAAGACCUCCAGGGCCUCGGGAUCGUCUCUCACAGAGCUCCCCUCGGAACGCACCUCGGAGACACCGAUCGGCGUGACGCUCACGGACGGUCGGUCUCGACUCCCAAACGGCUCUCAAAAGGCGGUGCUUAUUCACCUCCACCUUUGUCUCUACCCCGCCCCGCUGACUCCACGCGCCACCACUUGCCCUUGCCUUGUCUUCAGGCCUUUGCACAGGCUGCCCCCCAGCUCCAGCAGGACAGUGUCCUUAGGGACGUGGACAGCGGGUGGGAGUCGGCCUGGAAGGGUUGGGGGAGCGCAAGGCCUGCCCGGAGGCGUGUUGUAUCAUGAGCGCCCAGACCUGCCAUUAUGGACGCGGAGGUUAUGAGAACGAAUGGACCAUUCCAUUUGCAAUGGCCAAACCCAAAGAAAGGAGUUUGAGCAAACUCGGGGAGAUGGUGAAGGACAGGGAAGCCUGGCGUGCUGCAGUCCAUGGGGUCGCCAAAGGGGAGAUGGUGUCCUGCUCGAGGGAGAAUUGCUCGAUGUAUCCCGGCACAGCAUCUCGGAUGCCCACGGCAGGAAGGAGCGCUACUACGUGCUGUAUAUCCGGCCGAGUCGCAUCCAUCGCCGUAAGUUCGACCCCAAGGGAAACGAAAUUGAGCCCAACUUCAGCGCCACCAGGAAGGUGAACACGGGCUUCCUCAUGUCCUCUUACAAGGUGGAAGCCAAGGGUGACUCGGACAGACUGACGCUCGAGGCGCUGAAGGGGCUGGUGAAUAAGCCGGAGCUGCUUGCGCUGACAGACAGCCUCACCCCCGCUGAGACAGUAGCCUUCUGGAUGCCCGAGUCAGAGAUGGAGGCCAUGGAGCUCGAACUCGGGGCUGGGGUACGGCUGAAAACUCGAGGCGACAGCCCCUUCCUGGAUUCAUUAGCCAAACUCGAGGCUGGAACAGUGACCAAGUGUAAUUUCGCUGGAGAUGGGAAGACGGGAGCAUCCUGGACGGACAACAUCAUGGCCCAAAAGUCUUCGGGGGGGGCUGCAAGUGUUGGUGUGGUUUAUCUCUUGGCAGGAGUUUUGUAUGGACUGGUUGUGGCUGGGUGGUAGGAGAAAGAGACAGCAACUUAACUUUACUCCCAGCUUUGGUGGAAUUCCUGAGUGUGAGCCUGAUGAAAAGCCCCUCAAGGAUGACUGAGGUCAAGGAGAGAUGGGGUACCUCCAGGACCCACUGGCACCAUUGAGCAUUUCUCCCAUCAACUUUCACUCUGAAGCUCAGGGGACCAGGUCCACCAAACCUUACCUGGUUCUUCCCUACAGCCGCUGUGGAAUAUACUCUUCGAACAAGCUCUGCUAAAAUCAAAUCUAAGGCCCCGAUGUUAACCGUGGGGCACAAGGCUGUGGCUCGUGGAGGGUCCUUCCCUGGAUGUGAGUCUAGCCUUCCCCAGACAUUUUCAUGGUGGCCCUUGCCCUGAGCGGCAGCCUUGUUUGUGGAGGCAGGCAGGGGGCAAGCCCCCCUGGGGCAAUCAGAAGAUCUGGACUUGCUGCAGAACUGGGGGGAAUCCCUCAUCUGUACGCAGAAUGGCUCCGAGAAGUUAGCGGGGCCUCCUCCUUCUGUCCUAUUUCCUGCUUUCCUCCUGCAGCUGCCCUCUUCCCCAGUCCUCUGUGUUAGGGGCCUCUGCCCUCCUGCUCAAGCCUCCUCUCCCCUCAUGCCCUUCUCGGCCCCCAGAACUGCCAGUUCUUUUUCUUCCUCUGGUUCUCUGCUACCUUUGGGGUUCCUGUCUCCCGAUCUCCCUUGGCUGUUUUCCUGGGGAUGAUCUUUUUAUAGAGGCUGAGCUCGUUCACAGGUAUGGCCAGCUGGUCUCCUCUCUGACUCCCUCCACCAGGCCACAGGCCACAUUUUGGAUAACACCUUUUUUUCUUGUUUUGUACCUUGAGAAUUUUUUAUGAAUGAGUAAAAUUUCAGGAAAGGAUUCCUCUA